UACGUACAAGCAGUGGGAGCACAGAGCAAUCUGUGUGACUGCGUACCUUUUGUAUAAUGGGUCAGCGACUUAUAUUCUGUAGCAAGGUUAACCGAAUAGGGGAGCCGAAGGGAAACCGAGUCUUAACUGGGCGUUAAGUUGCAGGGUAUAGACCCGAAACCCGGUGAUCUAGCCAUGGGCAGGUUGAAGGUUGGGUAACACUAACUGGAGGACCGAACCGACUAAUGUUGAAAAAUUAGCGGAUGACUUGUGGCUGGGGGUGAAAGGCCAAUCAAACCGGGAGAUAGCUGGUUCUCCCCGAAAGCUAUUUAGGUAGCGCCUCGUGAAUUCAUCUCCGGGGGUAGAGCACUGUUUCGGCAAGGGGGUCAUCCCGACUUACCAACCCGAUGCAAACUGCGAAUACCGGAGAAUGUUAUCACGGGAGACACACGGCGGGUGCUAACGUCCGUCGUGAAGAGGGAAACAACCCAGACCGCCAGCUAAGGUCCCAAAGUCAUGGUUAAGUGGGAAACGAUGUGGGAAGGCCCAGACAGCCAGGAUGUUGGCUUAGAAGCAGCCAUCAUUUAAAGAAAGCGUAAUAGCUCACUGGUCGAGUCGGCCUGCGCGGAAGAUGUAACGGGGCUAAACCAUGCACCGAAGCUGCGGCAGCGACACUGUGUGUUGUUGGGUAGGGGAGCGUUCUGUAAGCCUGUGAAGGUGUGCUGUGAGGCAUGCUGGAGGUAUCAGAAGUGCGAAUGCUGACAUAAGUAACGAUAAAGCGGGUGAAAAGCCCGCUCGCCGGAAGACCAAGGGUUCCUGUCCAACGUUAAUCGGGGCAGGGUGAGUCGACCCCUAAGGCGAGGCCGAAAGGCGUAGUCGAUGGGAAACAGGUUAAUAUUCCUGUACUUGGUGUUACUGCGAAGGGGGGACGGAGAAGGCUAUGUUGGCCGGGCGACGGUUGUCCCGGUUUAAGCGUGUAGGCUGGUUUUCCAGGCAAAUCCGGAAAAUCAAGGCUGAGGCGUGAUGACGAGGCACUACGGUGCUGAAGCAACAAAUGCCCUGCUUCCAGGAAAAGCCUCUAAGCAUCAGGUAACAUCAAAUCGUACCCCAAACCGACACAGGUGGUCAGGUAGAGAAUACCAAGGCGCUUGAGAGAACUCGGGUGAAGGAACUAGGCAAAAUGGUGCCGUAACUUCGGGAGAAGGCACGCUGAUAUGUAGGUGAAGUCCCUCGCGGAUGGAGCUGAAAUCAGUCGAAGAUACCAGCUGGCUGCAACUGUUUAUUAAAAACACAGCACUGUGCAAACACGAAAGUGGACGUAUACGGUGUGACGCCUGCCCGGUGCCGGAAGGUUAAUUGAUGGGGUCAGCGCAAGCGAAGCUCUUGAUCGAAGCCCCGGUAAACGGCGGCCGUAACUAUAACGGUCCUAAGGUAGCGAAAUUCCUUGUCGGGUAAGUUCCGACCUGCACGAAUGGCGUAAUGAUGGCCAGGCUGUCUCCACCCGAGACUCAGUGAAAUUGAACUCGCUGUGAAGAUGCAGUGUACCCGCGGCAAGACGGAAAGACCCCGUGAACCUUUACUAUAGCUUGACACUGAACAUUGAGCCUUGAUGUGUAGGAUAGGUGGGAGGCUUUGAAGUGUGGACGCCAGUCUGCAUGGAGCCGACCUUGAAAUACCACCCUUUAAUGUUUGAUGUUCUAACGUGGACCCGUGAUCCGGGUUGCGGACAGUGUCUGGUGGGUAGUUUGACUGGGGCGGUCUCCUCCUAAAGAGUAACGGAGGAGCACGAAGGUUGGCUAAUCCUGGUCGGACAUCAGGAGGUUAGUGCAAUGGCAUAAGCCAGCUUGACUGCGAGCGUGACGGCGCGAGCAGGUGCGAAAGCAGGUCAUAGUGAUCCGGUGGUUCUGAAUGGAAGGGCCAUCGCUCAACGGAUAAAAGGUACUCCGGGGAUAACAGGCUGAUACCGCCCAAGAGUUCAUAUCGACGGCGGUGUUUGGCACCUCGAUGUCGGCUCAUCACAUCCUGGGGCUGAAGUAGGUCCCAAGGGUAUGGCUGUUCGCCAUUUAAAGUGGUACGCGAGCUGGGUUUAGAACGUCGUGAGACAGUUCGGUCCCUAUCUGCCGUGGGCGCUGGAGAACUGAGGGGGGCUGCUCCUAGUACGAGAGGACCGGAGUGGACGCAUCACUGGUGUUCGGGUUGUCAUGCCAAUGGCACUGCCCGGUAGCUAAAUGCGGAAGAGAUAAGUGCUGAAAGCAUCUAAGCACGAAACUUGCCCCGAGAUGAGUUCUCCCUGACCCUUUAAGGGUCCUGAAGGAACGUUGAAGACGACGACGUUGAUAGGCCGGGUGUGUAAGCGCAGCGAUGCGUUGAGCUAACCGGUACUAAUGAACCGUGAGGCUUAACCUUACAACGCCGAAGGUGUUU
rnacentral:rRNA from 1 species